rfam:Myotis brandtii contig234228, whole genome shotgun sequence.
GGCAGUUCUCAGGUGAUGCACCCCAGAAUCAGGCACCCUCUUCUCUGGUUCUGGGUGUGUCACCUGAGAACCACA